rnacentral:rRNA from 1 species
GGAGGUGCAUGGCCGUCGUCAGUUCGUACUGUGAAGCAUCCUGUUAAGUCAGGCAACGAGCGAGACCCACGCCAACAGUUGCCAGCUCGUCCUCCGGGAUGGAGGGGACACUGUUGGGACCGCCUCUGCUAAAGAGGAGGAAGGAAUGGGCAACGGUAGGUCAGCAUGCCCCGAAUUAUCUGGGCUACACGCGGGCUACAAUGGGUGGGACAAUGGGUAUCGACACCGAAAGGUGAAGGCAAUCUCCUAAACCCAUCCUUAGUUCGGAUUGUGGGCUGCAACUCGCCCACAUGAAGCUGGAAUCUGUAGUAAUCGUGUUUCAAAAUAGCACGGUGAAUAUGUCCCUGCUCCUU